rnacentral:rRNA from 1 species
CCCGCUGAACUUAAGCAUAUCAAUAAGCGGAGGAAAAGAAACCAACAGGGAUUGCCUUAGUAACGGCGAGUGAAGCGGCAACAGCUCAAAUUUGAAAUCUGGCCUUGGGUCCGAGUUGUAAUUUGCAGAGGAUGCUUCGGGCGCGGUGCCUUCCAAGUCCCCUGGAACGGGGCGCCGGAGAGGGUGAGAGCCCCGUACGGUUGGCGGCCAAGCCUGUGUGAAGCUCCUUCGACGAGUCGAGUAGUUUGGGAAUGCUGCUCUAAGCGGGAGGUAGACCCCUUCUAAAGCUAAAUACCGGCCAGAGACCGAUAGCGCACAAGUAGAGUGAUCGAAAGAUGAAAAGCACUUUGAAAAGAGGGUUAAACAGCACGUGAAAUUGUUGAAAGGGAAGCGCUUGUGACCAGACGUGCGCCGGGGUGUUCAGCGGGCGUUCUCGCCCGUGCACUCGCCUCGGUGCAGGCCAGCGUCGGUUUGGGUGGGGGGAUAAAGGCGUCUGGAAUGUGGCUCCUCCGGGAGUGUUAUAGCCAGUCGUGCCAUGCCUCCGCCUGGACCGAGGUACGCGUUCUGCAAGGACGCUGGCGUAAUGGUCUCCAGCGACCCGUCUUGAAACACGG